rnacentral:rRNA from 1 species
UACAGAGGGGGCAAGCGUUGUUCGGAAUUACUGAGCGUACAGGGCGCGUAGGCGGGCUGGCAAGUCGGCCGUGAAAUCCCUCGGCUCAACCGAGGAACGUCGAUCGAUACUGCUGUUCUUGAGGAUUGCAGAGGAGACUGGAAUUCCCGGUGUAGCGGUGAAAUGUGUAGAUAUCGGGAGGAACACCGGUGGCGAAGGCGGCGACCUGGGUAGAUACUGACGCUGAGGUGCGAAAGCGUGGGGAGCAAACAGG